CAAAUAUUUUAUUCUUUAUAUCAUCAAUCAUUUAUAGGCCUUAAUUAAUAUAUGUAUUGAAGUUAGCAAAGUCAACAGCCUCAGAAGAAAACUUGAUGAAUAAUAUAGUGGCAAAUCUCAUUAAAUCUAACAAGGUGACCAAGCAAAAUAAUCAAUUCAGUGAAGAUUUAAGUAAAACCCUUCAAGAGAUUCAAUUAAAAUGACAGGCCUUAGAUGCCUUUAAUAAAAUAGUUUUGUUAUAUGAAGAACAGAUUGAACUCCAUCUUCAAUUCCAAAAGGAUGCUCUACCUCAUGAAAUUAAGCCGUUAAUGGAGAACUUUGAAUUGUUAAAAACUCAUCUCAGUAUUGUUCAAGAGAACAAGACCCAGUUAGAAAAUGAAUUGAAGUAUCAGACUGCAUACAAUCACUCACUUGACAGAGAAAUUAAAUCUUGACUUAAUACAUUCUGCAAAUAUAAGAUAUGUAUGUUUUAUAAGUUAUAUAGUUUUAAAAUAUUUUCUGUAUAUUAUCUAAGUUAAUACUAAGGAGUUUAUUUAUAACAGGAGUUUUUAGUUUUACUUGUGAAAAUUUAACAAAAUUUGGUCAAAAUGUUAUUUUGUGUAUUAAUUUUCAUUUCUGAGAUUUAAAAAUUAAGGGGAAAAAGCAGUUACAAUAGUUAUUAUUGAUAGAUUUCAUAUACAGUAUAAUACUAGUAUAUGAAAUCUGUCUUU